AGUGAACGCUGGCGGCAGGCCUAAUACAUGCAAGUCGAACGGCAGCACAGCAGAGCUUGCUCUGUGGGUGGCGAGUGGCGGACGGGUGAGGAAUACGUGGGAAUCUGCCCAGUCGUGGGGGAUAACGUAGGGAAACUUACGCUAAUACCGCAUGCGCCCUUCGGGGGAAAGCCGGGGACCUUCGGGCCUGGCGCGAUUGGAUGAGCCCACGUCGGAUUAGCUAGUUGGCGGGGUAAAGGCCCACCAAGGCGACGAUCCGUAGCUGGCCUGAGAGGAUGAUCAGCCACACUGGAACUGAGACACGGUCCAGACUCCUACGGGAGGCAGCAGUAGGGAAUAUUGGACAAUGGGCGCAAGCCUGAUCCAGCCAUGCCGCGUGAGUGAAGAAGGCCCUCGGGUUGUAAAGCUCUUUUGUCCGGAAAGAAAAGCGCCGGGUUAAUACCCUGGUGUCCUGACGGUACCGGAAGAAUAAGCACCGGCUAACUUCGUGCCAGCAGCCGCGGUAAU
rnacentral:rRNA from 1 species